GAUCCUAGCGUUGUUCGGAAUUAUUGGGCGUAAAGCGGAUGUAGGUGGCUUUGUAAGUCAGAUGUGAAAGCCCAGGGCUCAACCCUGGAAGUGCAUUUGAUACUGCGAAGCUUGAGUGUCGGAGAGGUUACUAGAAUUGUUGGUGUAGUGGUGAAAUACGUAGAUAUCAACAGGAAUACCGGAGGCGAAGGCGGGUAACUGGCCGAACACUGACACUGAGAUCCGAAAGCGUGGGGAUCAAACAGGAUUAGAUACCCUGGUAGUCCACGCCGUAAACGAUGGAUACUUGUUGUUGGAGGUAUUGACCCCUUCAGUGACGAAGCUAACGCGUUAAGUAUCCCGCCUGGGGAGUACGGUCGCAAGAUUAAAACUCAAAGAAAUUGACGGGGGCCCGCACAAGCGGUGGAGCAUGUGGUUUAAUUCGAUGCAACGCGAAGAACCUUACCUAGGCUUGACAG
rnacentral:rRNA from 1 species